rnacentral:lncRNA from 1 species
ACCACGUAUUGUGCUGUCAUCCACCUUCAGACUCAAAAGAGCUGAGAAGAAGUGUCACUUUUUUCAGUGUGCCCCUUAAUGAUACAACCCGUCCGCUAGCCGUCACUUUGCCAAGGAAUACACAUGAGGUGGAUUUGUAGUUGACUCGUUUUGUCAUAGAGUAUUUCAGCAAAAUUGCAGUGAACCCUGAAGGCCGGCUCAGACAUUAAAGAAUGGGGGAAAGAAGAAAUGAAAAGAAAGAGGGAGCGAGGGGAAGAAACAAAACAGAAUGUUUUGGAAAGACAGUUCACUCGUCCUCCUAUUUCUCACCACAAGGAGCAAACUAAGGGAAGAAGUAUCUCUAAUAAAAACAGCACUCCA